AACCCAAUCCUCGAACAAGCAACCACAAAACUAACGGCACCACAACAUUAUCAUUCCCGCCCGAUAACACUGCCUCCAUGGAGCUGGACACUAGCGCUGCAAGAAUAGAUUUACUGACGACGACAGCCCAACCCUUCGAUGUCGCCAUCGUUGGCCAGGAUGGGGAUAUCGCCCGAGAUAUCGGAACGGAAACAGAACGAUCCCACCCCCCAACAAUGAACCAAAGGCGUGCCGUUAGUAUCCCCACAAAAACGACGACUGCAAAGGCCAUACUACCUUCAACACUCUUUCCGCCACCCCAAAACCACUUAUGUCGGCCAUACCGUCGCCCCACCAGAGACGCUGCAGCAUCACCCAUACCAACACAUAUAACUCCGCUGACCAUGCUGAGAUCGCGUGUCUCCACGUCCCAUCCCUUCCAGGGCGGGCUACCAGUGCGAGGGAUCCCAGCAAGAGAAAGCCAGAGUGGGAUGGCACAACCAAUGAGGAGGAAGAUGUGGGAAACGAUGAUGGGGCCGCGAUGGUCGCGGCCAUCAACAUAGGGAGCAAGGAAGUAUGUGAGCGGCUUCGAGAUGGGUGGUAGCUGCGAGGCUCGAAAUAGAUCUAACAAGAGGAAAAUGGCCAGAAUGAGAGCCAGAGCGAGUGCCGUAAAUGUCGGGUCAAUGAAGGUGGUUGGCAGAAACAUCAGGACCAUCAUUCCAUGGAAAACUUUGCGCCGAGUGUCUACUUCAACGGCACCGCUGAGACGAAUCACCAACCCCAAUCCCACCAUGAUGACGAGAGCACAAUAGCAGGCGAUCAGGAGGCGGGUAUUAGCCUCUCCGAGAGUAUCUCGCCGGAGAUGAUCCACCCAUCCCAGAUGGCAUGAUUUGUUGUCCAUUUCUGUAUCGAGUAAAGGAGAUAUCCAAUUGCCCACCCGAAAGGCUCAUUUCCAUGCAGCGCAUUCUGCCCAACAUAUUUUCUCACUGGCACCAGGAUAAUAAAUAAUGUCGCGGCAUAGGUAUAUAGUGCAUAUGCCCACUUCCGCACUUGAGCCUGAGCAGCUGUAAGAGAAAGGAAUGAUUGGAGGUUCGGCGUCAUUAAUCGUCUACGUCGGCCACCAGGUGUAGUUUUAACAUUCCCAUCUACAUCGCCAUUGGCAAAAACCGAUGGUUGACGACGGUGGCUGUGGGCACUUUUCGAUUGGGCAUUCGCAGGGAAUUCUUGCGGUAGAAUCUCAUAAUUUGAUUGCAUGUUGUCCAAUAGAGCAGGGUCAACGCGAGGAGUCGCGGCUCGAUCAUCGGAUAUCUUAGAGACAUUAUGUUUCAUAAAGAUGUUGUGGCCUUGGUUGUCCUUGCCGCCCCUGAUCAUUGCAAACCCACUGACAGGGACGUCACUAUCAGACAACGCCUCACCGUCAUGACCAACAUGGCUAAGGCUGUAGCAGAUGUUAUGAUCAAGCAUCUUAAGAUAACCCCCCCGCCGGUCAUCCCUCCUAGGUGACCGACGAAAUUUCCAAGACGGUAUUCUAGCCAAAAUGACCUCCCAACGAAGGACAUGUUGACAUAGAAAGAGCAUACAGAUCCCGCCAAGCCACAGUAGCGCCUUCAGAAUUUCCCCUUGGGAUGAAUUAGCGAAGAACAGGACGUUAAGGAGCCCAGUAGCAAGGAGUUGCAAUUCGGUAUGCAAUAGGCUGGUUGUGGAAAAGAAAUGCAAAGUUGUUACAAGCGCUUGGUGUAAGGGGAAAAUAAGGAGCAGGAGCUCCGGGUUAAGUCCCUGGAAGGGUUCUGAGCUUCGUGAACGGAUAUUCGAGGUGAUAACCGGCAGAAUUGUGAUAGCCCAGUGUGUUAUAACAAAGCCAUGCCGUAUAGUGUAGAAAGGUAUAACAGGAGAAGGUAUCGAGGAGAGGCCAAGUAUUAUAUUUGGUAAUAUUGACACCUGGUGGUUGUGUAUCAGGGAUAACGCAAUCAGCACAGGGAGGAGAACAGGGUAUAUUAGAGGAGCAGGAUCGAGGUUGGUCGAGAAUGGGAAGGCCACAAUAGCUUUCCAGCGGCGCCGUCGGAAACCAUACGUGGUGAUUUGAAAGGGAUAUAUCAAAUAAAGUACAAGAAUUGUAAUCGAAAAUGUAGAA
rnacentral:sRNA from 2 species